UCUACAUGCAUUAAUUCAUGGCUCACACAUUUGGUGUGCGGCAAUCCCUGUUUAUAUAUGUAGAAUCCUUCAUCAAGGGUACUAGCUAGUUCUAUAACAAAUUAAUGAGGUUGUUGGUGAAGGAACUCCGUAUAAUGUGGAUUAAUUUGAAUACGCUGCUCAUUUGGGUGCAAGAUUGGUGUACUUUUCAAUGUUUCAAGGCCUAUUGGGAGGGCGGAUUUGUGCAGGUUCAUGUUACCCUUUGCAACUUCUUAAUUUUAUGAUGAGUGUAGACUUUGUAUACGUUGUUUUAAUUAAUACAUCUUGUGGUUAAUUAAGUUACCUUUCUUUCA